rnacentral:rRNA from 1 species
UACGUAGGGUGCAAGCGUUGUCCGGAAUUAUUGGGCGUAAAGAGCUCGUAGGCGGUCUGUCGCGUCGGCUGUGAAAUCCCGAGGCUCAACCUCGGGUCUGCAGUCGAUACGGGCAAACUGGAGUGUUGCAGGGGAGACUGGAAUUCCUGGUGUAGCGGUGAAAUGCGUAGAUAUCGAGAGGAACACCAGUGGCGAAGGCGAGUCCCUGGAAAACACCUGACACUGAGGCACGAAAGCUAGGGGAGCAAACAGG